rfam:Angiostrongylus cantonensis strain Taiwan genome assembly, scaffold: ACAC_contig0002383
CAAACGGCCCUCUUUAGGGCCACAAGUGCAACGAAAUGUGGGAAC